GUUUGCAGAGAGCCUUAGAAGGAGUGGUGGCUGAUCAACAAUCAACUUUUGACAUGCUUAGAAGGAGAGGAAGAGUCGAAUCAUAUUGAUCAAAUGAUUGUCUCCAGAAUGAUGUAGUGGAUAAAAGCAGAAGACUUUUAAUUUGGAGAACUGGGUUUCGUUCCUCGCUCCUCUACAUGAGUAGUGGAUUCUAAUCUGAUGAACCAGGCCCACUGCUUUCCCAGUCGAAUAGGAACCAGACCCCCAGACCCACUGAACGGGAAGCCUAGGCUGCACUCGCAACUGCAAAACGGAAGAAUGCGCAGGCAGCCACACGCUAUGGAAACGAGGGCACAUAAUCGACAUCCAAACCUCUAAUAAAGGAGAUC